AACACCCAUAACAUUGCCUCUCUAAAAGUUUUGUCAAUCUUUAACCCUCAUUUUCUCACAUUAAAGAUAGCUCUAACUUGGAUUGCUUUACACCAAAACGUAGCCAAACAAUCCCUCUCUCUAACCCUACCAAGAACACCCCGUAAAACUAUCUCACUUUAGAGCUAUCUCACUUUUUCUACAGGUAUUUCCCAUCGACAACACUCAAAACAUUGCCUCUCUAAAGGUUUUGUCAAUCUUUAACCCUCAUUUUCUCACAUUAAAGCUAGCUCUAACUUGGAUUGCUAUACACCAAAACGUAGCCAAACCAUCCCUCUCUCUAACCAUACUAAGAACACCCCGUAAAACUAUCUCACUUUUGAGCUGUCUCACUUUUUCUACAGGUAUUUCCCAUCAACAACACCCAAAACAUUGCCUCUCUAAAGGUUUUGUCAAUCUUUAACCCUCAUUUUCUCACAUUAAAGCUAGCUCUAACUUGGAUUGCUUUACACCAGAAUGUAGCCCAACAAUCCCUCUCUCUAACCCUACCAAGAACACCCCGUAAAACUAUCUCACUUUAGAGCUAUCUCACUUUUUCUACAGGUAUUUCCCAUCGACAACACCCAUACUUAACACCUAACUAUAACUUGCUAUAACUACUGAUACAUUGGAGUUAGGAUCAUGAAUUUUUAAGUGAAGGAAGGUCAACUAAUACUCUAACUGCCAUUUAAGUUAUAGUCACUUAUAACCAACACAAGGGAAGUUAUAGACAAAAAUGUUAAGUGUAUUGAAUUUUACAAGCAAGCCAUUCCUUAAAAUAUGGAUUGGUUCUGAAGUGGAGAAUGGGGUCUUGGGUCUCUCUCUCUCUCUCUCUCUCUCUGUCUCUCUCUCUCUCUGUCUCUCUCUCUCUCUCAACCUAACCUAACAUAA